AUUGAACGCUGGCGGCAGGCUUAACACAUGCAAGUCGAGCGGAGAUGAGGUGCUUGCACCUUAUCUUAGCGGCGGACGGGUGAGUAAUGCUUAGGAAUCUGCCUAUUAGUGGGGGACAACAUUCCGAAAGGAAUGCUAAUACCGCAUACGUCCUACGGGAGAAAGCAGGGGAUCUUCGGACCUUCCGCUACUAUAUGCGCCUAAGUCGGAUUAGCUAGUUGGUGGGGUAAAGGCCUACCAAGGCGACGAUCUGUAGCGGGUCUGAGAGGAUGAUCCGCCACACUGGGACUGAGACACGGCCCAGACUCCUACGGGAGGCAGCAGUGGGGAAUAUUGGACAAUGGGGGAAACCCUGAUCCAGCCAUGCCGCGUGUGUGAAGAAGGCCUUAUGGUUGUAAAGCACUUUAAGCGAGGAGGAGGCUACUGAGACUAAUACUCUUGGAUAGUGGACGUUACUCGCAGAAUAAGCACCGGCUAACUCUGUGCCAGCCGCCGCCGUAA
rnacentral:rRNA from 1 species